CCACAUUUUAAGAAGGGUGUUGACAAGCUGGAAGGUGUGCAGAGGAGGGCGACCAAGAUGGUCAAGGGUCUGGAAACCAAGCCUGAUGAGGAACAGUUGAAGGAGCUGGAAUCUGCUAAAACAGAAGGGAGAGGUCAGCUGUUACCAAUAAGGAAGGAAAUAUUCCUUCGAGAAGCUUCUCCCGAAAUGGAAGGCACACAAGACUCUGUAAUUCUCUUCUUUGGGAGGUGGCUGUCGUGUGGGUGGCCUUAGGAAGCUGAAUGCGAAGGAGGCAGGUCCCAGCCCUUUGGAUUGCAGCAAGGACAACCUGGGAGCAUCUCUCACCUGCUGUGCUUGUACCUCCUCACUCUCCCAUUCGCUACCUCUGCACCAAGCCAAGAACAAAGACCAACAUCUCGUCCUUUGAGCCCCAUGUUGGGCAAAAGAUUCCUGCAGGGCGUUGGACUCAAAGACCCUCAUGGUCCCUUCUAACUCUACAAUUCUAUGAUUCUGUGAUCUAAGGGCAUUGCUUUCAAGUGAACACAUCAUUCUCAGUGCCCUGAAACACAUUUAAAAGGCAUUCAAAGGUUUUUAUAAAAAUAAUCUUUAUAAAAAAUAAUAAUUUAUUAGUUUUCCAAUUGAAAUUGUUAUAUGAUCUCAACAAUCAAGCAGAAACCACCUAAAAUGGCAUGAGACAUAAAGUCUUCCUGUUCCUGAGAGAUUUGAAGCUGUUAAAAGGGACCAAAUAGGGAAAUCUUUUCAAUUCCUAAGAGGCAGUGAGUUGAGGGAGGCCAGGGCCACAUCCACACCAUUCGUUUAAAGUGCCGUGAAGCACUUUAAACACUCAUGGCUUCUUACCCCAAAGAAUUCUGGGAGCUAUAGUUUGAAAAGGGCGCCCAGAGUUGUUAGGAGACCCCUCUGUUCCCCUCCCAGAGCUACAACUUCCUGAGUGGUUUAAUCACCCAUCCUUUCCAGGGAAUUCUGGGAAUUGUAGCUCUGGGAGGGGAACAGGGGGGUCUCUUAACAACUCUCAGUCUCUUUAACCACCUACAGUUCCCAGAAUUCAUGGGGGAAAGCUAUGCCUGUUUAAAGCGUCACAGCAUUUCCAAUGAACGGUGCAAAUGUGGCCUAAUGUUUCCUCCCCUCAUUUUUGUCAAACUGCUUGUCUUGCACCUGCAUUAUGGUAUAUAAGCUUCCAUGAACCACAGCUCGUUUCAUCAGAUUGAUGAUGUGAUCUCCUGAAACUCACAGCCACAGUGGGGAAUGCAGAGGAGAAGAACAGACUCCAUCACUUGCAAUCCAGCAGAUGUCUGCCUGCAGUCUCCCUUCAAAGCUCCUUCCCUUGGUUAUGGCCACGGCCUUGUCCAUUGCUCACUGUCAGUAUUUCACGUUCAUUUCACCAAUGCAAAUAGGGACAUUCUGCGGUUCUCUUCAUGACUUUCAUGGCUGGUCUCGUGGAAAAGCUUGCCAACUCCAGACAUCCCUGAAAGGCAAAGGCAAACAGAUGAGUGGGAUGGCCACCAUCUGACAGCAUCCACCCAGACACCUCCACUGGUUUCUGCCUGCCUAGGGCAUCCACUGACAUCAUUUAAAUGCAAAUGCACACACCCAGCUUCCGCCUACGGACAUUCACCCGCUAUCGUUGGGCAACUUCCCUCCUCUGUUUGGCUGCCUAUUAACAAACAAGGCUUCCAAACCAGUUUGCAUCCAUUUCAGCCAGCGUAGCCUUGCGACAUCCACUAGCCUGAAUGCAAACUCUUCCGGCAACCAUUCACCACUUGCAGCCUCGCCAGGUCCAUUGCCAGACGACCGCCUGCUUCAGAGCUGAAUAUCAGCUGCCUUCAAGUAGCAAUCCCACUAGCAAGUAAACUUUGAACUUGCCUUCUCCUUGCUCCACAGCAUUUCAGCGCUGGGUGAUUGCCUCCUUUCGCCUGCCAGCUUGCUGCCAUGGGGCAGGAGACCACUAGAGCUGAGUGCCACCGCUGCUGCCUAUUUCUCUCUGGGGAGGGCAGCUGCCUUGCCUUUUGCCUUGGCCAACAUUUAUACCCACUCAGCUGCCUUUUUUUUUUUUUGUGACAUCACAGUCAACAAUGGUAGCAGCUGGGGAAGCAUCACCAUCACCCCCUCAGCCCUCACAAUGGUGGGUGUAGCUCAGCAACCAUUGGCUCCUUGGUCUAUUACCAAGGAGAUAUAUAGCCAAAAUCAGGUGGAGAAGGAAGAGCAACUGAAGAGGGAACACCAUUCACAGUACAUGGGACAGGAAGCCACCGGUCUUGGGAGCAGCUGGGCUGGUGCCACCCCUGACCUCUCUAAUAUUAGUGCCACUCUCAAGUCUCCAAGGUGUUCCUUCCACCAGCCUUGUUUUUAGAUGUGCAAGGUUUCUCUGAUCGCUGAGGACAGCCUCCCGAUUCCAGUUCAGCCACAUCCUGCAGAAAUGCACUUGUGUCCAGCUUUCCAUGUGAGACCUUUAAAUUACUUGAGACUCCAGAAGCCGCUUCAGUUUCUUCCCAGUAACAUGGACCUUCUCGUGAGCUUCAACAUAAUCUCCUCCACCAGAUUUGAUGAGCAAGUGAGUGGAAAUCUCCCACAGUGUUGACUUGUGGCUACCAUUCCAGAAGCUCUUUCUCCAGUUGCAUUAAUUCUCUUUGGCUCCUGAAUUGCGUGAGGACCAGCAUUUCUUUAUCCCAGCUUUUUUCUCCAAGGAUCUUGAGCUGGUAUACGUUGCAGCAAAAACAAUGAACACAGCUAUCUUGCCUACCAGAGAAGAGACUAAAGGAGCACGCUUCUGGAUGUUGUUGCUUAUGGUAAGGUUUAAGAAUGUAUGAAUAGCAGUUUGCAGACAGUGAUCCAGGGGAUCCUGGGAGACAUCACACAUUGCCUGUGAGAUUAGGAUAGUAGAUGCAAUUGAAAGGCACUUUGUUUUCUGGAUCUGCCACCUCUACAGUGGCUUGUUGGUGAAUUGGAGGCACCCUCUCACCCUUAUUCCUGAUGCGGAACUUCACUCACCUCUUCUUCCCUGACAGAGGAAGUGCCAUUUUGUGGUUUGCCUCAGGUGCCAAAGUGUCUUGAGCUGACCCUGCCAGCAGCCAUAAGGCCCAACCAGUCUGGCAAGUGCUCUGUGUUAACAGUAUGUGUACUCUGUAGAACAUUUAAAAAUUGUAGAGCCUUUUUGGCAGAAGAAGCAGGUUCAGAUGCUUUGAGUAAAUUCAGUGCUUUUUUCCUGGGGGAAUGCAGGGGUAUGCAUACCCCUAAACAUGUUGUGAAUCUUAGUUUGGCCUCAUUGAAGGGCAGUAUUUCAAUAUGAGUUGGAAAAUAAGAAUACCCCUAAACAUUUUUAAGGAAGAAAGCACUGAAUAAAAUAACCCACUGCAGCACAAAGGGGUUCCAAGGCAGAUGCUCUGUGACUUCUCUUUAAGAAGGUCAAUAUGCAAAGUUCUUUAAAUUCCUUCAUCAGACUGAAUGGGGAUGAGGGGAAAGCUGGCAUGGUGUGAAAGUCACAAAGUGUGCAGUUGUAAUAGUUUAAAGCAGAGUCCUGGAGGAGACUUGCAAGCUAAUGAAUUAUUUAUUAUUCAUUGGAUUUAUAUACCGCCCUAUACCGGGAGGUCUCAGGGCAGUUCACAGAAUAAAAUCAAAAUAUAAAACCACAAAAUACAUAAUCAAAAUAAAAACACCAACCCGAUAACCACCCAGGUUAUUGUCAGGCUGCAACCCUAAUCCUAGUUACAUGGGAAUAAGCUCCAUAGAAUUCAAUGUGGCUUACUUCUGAGGAGCCAUGGUCAGCAAAUAGCCAUGGCACAUGCCCUGAUCGGGGGGAAAUAGGGAAGUUGUCCCUACAAAUCACCAGCACAAAACAUUUGUAAUUUAUUGUUUAUUUUAAUAUACAAAAAAAGAUAAAUUUGAAAUAGUUCUUUCUAGGUUUUUUCCUCCUAUUUGUUGGAGCGGAGCUGCUUCACACAGGGCAAAAAUACUACAUUCAUACUGGUUUAUUCGGGCACCCUGAACUUAGCUGAAGCAGCAAUACCCAAACUUGGCAGACCUAAUUUCAAACAAGAGACUCGUUUCUAAAAUACCACAGUAAAAAGGAACAAAGAUCCAUUGCAAAUUUAUGAAUUAUGAUACAAUGUUUCAAAACAUUUCCAUUUCAUAACUGCAUACAGCGGAUGUCUUCUUUAGGCCAUCUUACAUAUGUAUAUCUAUAUUUAUUUAUUUAUAUAUAUAAUAUAUAUAAAAAAUCAGCACAAUCCAAAAGGGGUUACAGCAAUGAGCUCAACUCUCUGUAUACUUUUUUGUGUGUUUGUGUGUGGAUACUUUAAUAUAAAUUUUGUUAAGUCAGUAGUACAAGCUAUCUCUGGUCUACUUUUUUAAAAUUUUAAGCUACAAGAGUGAAAUAUAACCUACAACAUUUACGUUUCACGUAUCUUGGUAUACAAACAGUACAUUGGAAUUUGAGCCAGGACCAAUAGUCAUUUUCAUUAUUUCACCAUCUGGUAGAGCUUUCUGCAUUUAUCAAUUUCCUAAACUAGUUACUUAAUUCUCAUUUCUGAAGUUUGCCAAGAAUUCAAAUUGGAAAUCCUGCGGGAACAGGUUACUGCAAACUCCUCUGUAGGCCUUCUAUGUACAAGUUAAGUAACACAGCUUAAUAAGACAUAACUAUUCAUCAUAAAACUGAUACACACAUCUCACUAUGCUAGACUAGUUUUAGGACUUUAUUUCCUUGAAUAAAGCAUACCAUUUAGAAGUAGUUGAUAAAAGGAACAAUGGUUUUAAAAAAACAACAAAGAGUGUAUUUCAAUUUUUUGUGCCCUCUCCCUUCCGAAUUUUGUUCUAUCCUGUGACAUUUACUAUAAGCAUCUAAUGGUAUAAACAAUGCAGAAAGCUCUUUCCACAAGAACUGACAAACUGUACUUAAGUCAACUUUACAGUAGGAAAUUCACCAAACUUAAGGACAAAAUGUGACAAGUAUUCACAGGUGAAAGACUGUAGGCUUCAGUUCUGAUAUUCAAAUGGUGGUAGAUUGGCAAGAGGAAUGCCCUGGCUUUGUGCAAAUGUAGGGGCAUAGAACUGGAGACCGAGAAGCAUGUUUUAAAAUCCACAGUAACCACCUUUUUGCGGUAUCAGCAAGUAUCACUAUAUGACAAAACUUUUAAACUUCAUAGGAAGUUUCGGAGGGGACAGGUAGUUCAGUCUUCCUUCCCCCUGUAACCACUAAAAGCUUCACAAAUGUUUGACACUGAUAAUUUCGAAAGGCGUUGCGGAGGCAAAAAAAAAUUCUCUCCAACCUGCCGCGAAUUUCAAUUUUGAUAGGAAGGUCUCUCUUAUAUUGGUAAAACAGCAUGUGUCUCAAUGACCAGGAAUAAAAAUUGUAAGACUGAACAGAUUAUUAUUAUUAAAAAACCCCGAACCAUUCGCCCUCCCCCCCCCUCCCAAAAAACCAAGAUCAGUGAAAAUAAUGCUAUAGAUUUCCAUUCCAAAUUGUAGUGCUGUUAUUUGGAGAAGAUCAGUCUCUACUAAAGGGCUCAAUAUGGAUCGCCCCAUGCUCUGUCCAAGUUGUACCCCUUUGGAACUUCAUGUGCAGGAUCAUGCUAACCAGUGGCACCUAUCCGCCAUGUCAGAUGUUCCAAGUAACUUUGACCAGAUAACCAGGAAAUAUCUCCCAAUAAAACACUGAACACAGUAGAAAUCAAGGAAAGGAAGCACUUGUUCAUAACGCCCUCUUGCUGUACAUACAUCCAACACAAUUAGAGCUUGACAACAAAAAAAAGCCCUUUUGGUUUAACUGGGAGUGGGGAAAGGAACCACAAGCUUAAAAAAUGAAAUGUAAGCUGCAAUCCUUAGGGAUCCAUUUCCAUUUUUUCCUUUCUGCAUAUAAAUUAUAUAAAAUAUAUAACUUAUAUAACACUUGUGUGUAGCAUGGUUCCUUGUCUGCAUAUGUUACAAUCUUGCAGUACAAAGAAGAUUCCAGAAAGCAACACUGUUAUAAUGUGAAGUUUGAGGUAACUGGUUCUUGAAAUACCUGGAUCACAGAUUGCAUCCAGAAACAACAAUUGGAUAAUGAAAAGCAGUUUCUCUUCCCCCCUCCCUGUAACAUCCUGAUGGCGGGGGGAGGAAUUAAAAAGAACUUACAGCAGUUGCUUUGCAUGAAAAUAAAUGAAGGCACAAAGAAAAAGCUUUAGACUUCGGAAAUGAAGAGCUAAAAAUAAUGUUGCCACAGUUGUGUCCUAAUACAAAAGGAAGAACUCUGUCCAAAAUCAGUUUUUUUAAUUAAAAAGGGGAGGGGGAGUGUAAGAAACAGAACAUACUGACCAAGUUUUUAGACAAUGAAUUGGAAACGUUUAAUGUGUGUAAAUGACAGAUCAAUGGAUCCUAAAUUUGACUACCGAGUGAAGGGCCUAUUCAUUGUUAAAGUCUCGCAGCAGCCUGAGCACCCGAAGUAUGUAGAAGGAGGCUUCUGAAAACACAUUCACAAUUUGUAUUUUAGAACAUGACACUCUGUGGUUUAAGCACUUUGCUGAGCUGCAAUAGGAAGUUCAGCACCAAGAAGACUGCAAGGGGUAAGCUGUCAGUCAUAAAAAUGGCACAUGAAACUCAUUUUUCAUCAUGGUAAUAGGCAACAGGAAAACCUUGUGUCGCCCAAUCCCUGCUGCUUUCCAAGCCAGCCAACAAUCUGAUAGAAAAGGAUCAUGUGAUUGACCUUUCUGUGUGUGGGCUCUUUGCUAGCCAGAUACUAGAUUAGCUUCCAAGCUGCUCUGGGCCCUCAAAGUAAUCUAAGAUUUUGAGCAAGGAUAUCAGUCUCACCCUGAAAUUCCAAGCUUAAAUAGAAGAUGCUUGGUUCAACAACUUCAGGUAUCCAGAGUCAUGAAAUCAGCAUACUUCGAGUGAAAAAAUGAGGGCUAUUCUAUCUCAGCCAUGUUGUCUAAGUAAUCAAUCUUUUGAUGAAGAAUUUAAAAGCACCUGGUGUGUGCACAUGCUCUAUGUCUCCUCAAAAAUUCUUCCCUUCUCUUUUUAGGGUUAACCACUGUGUGUAGCAUGUCAAUUAAGGCUAGUCAAGGUUAGCUUUAAACUGGGUUUGCCAAUAAGCUUUAAACCUCGGUUGCAAAUUCUGUUUUCCAGCUAACCAUUGUUAGCGUUAACAAAACACUAUACAGUACUAUACUGAAAAGGGAAGGAACAAUGGAAUUUGUGGAGGAAAGAACAUGUGCCUGUAGGGUGCCCUUGAUCUCAUACCCAUGGUUACUGGUUUGUGAAGUGUUGACUUUGCAUUGGGAUGCUGAGGAAGCAAAAGGCAUUUUAGCUCUUUUGAAACUCUUGUUAGUUCACCAUCUCUUUACAGUACUAUGGGAAACUUGCCAGCGCCCCAUUACUACUGUCAAAAAAUGAAACAGAAAGCUCCUUUACAUUGCCCAUUGCUUUAGUUACGGAAAGCAAAAGGCUAACUUUUAUAACCCAGAGAAAUUUGAUUUGCAAAUAUUAAUCAGUGCAUUUCAGCAAGAUGGGAAGAACUACCAAGAGCCCAUUAACAAAGGAAUGCUGACAGAAACAUCUCUUUACAGAUCAUAUUGUCAAUGCGGUACAUAUAGUCACUAUAAACAGAACUGCUGGCAUGUUAUGGAGCAGAAAUCUGAUUUACCAUGGUUUUCAUAAAUGCUUAAUAGAUAAGGCCGCACAAAUUAUCACAAAAUGCAUCAAAAUGUGUGUUUCCAUAAGGAAUUUAUAUGAAGGCUACACAAAUAUUUUUGUUGUUGUACUGGUGGUGGUAGAAUCUUAAGGAGGCCAUGAAAAACAGUCAAAAGUGUGGGGUUUUGUUUCUGUUUUCGCAAAAGGGAUUAUAUACAAGAGGAAUACAUAGUGAAGUCUACAAAGUAAGUUGGCAAUUCAUGAAUUCAGGCCGCCUUUUCUCUAGCUAGUUUUAAAUCUGGCUUCUUUUUUGCUGUGGCUGCACAGGAUUUUUGUUUUCCAUUUUCCUUGCAGAAACGUAUUGGGCAAUACUCGAUGUUAGCCAUACUCAAGAGCACACUACUGAAACAGACUUAAGUCCAUUAAUUUCAUUGAGUCUACUCUGAUUAAUGCUGAAUGUCAUCUAUUAUGUUUUACAAAAUAAUUUGUGGUACGAAAUAAUUUUUUCAGACACAGUGCAGUUUUCAUUCUUCAGGUGUGUAUGUGUGUAUUCAAAGGUCACUUCCCCUCUAUACAGUAUAAACAUUUUAAAAUAGCAUAUUAAGAUAAUCAAGAAGCAAAACUCAUAGUGCUGUACGUUUGUUUCUUAACUCUAAAAACAUUAGUAGGACAAUACUUCAACAGCAUUAUGAUCGUGCUUUUAUAUUGCAUGAACACCCUUUAGAAAAUUUGGAUUUCUCACCUUUAUUAAAAGCCCACAGCACCUGCUGUAGCAUAUUACAAUUGCUACCACAGGCAGAAAAAUCAACAAGUGUUCUGCUAUUCUAAACCAGAAAGAAGUACUGUACUUGUUUUGCUUUAUAGCUGCCACUUUUGAAAAAAGACAUCACUUUCAUAUUAACAAAUUUCAAAAGGGAACAAAGAAAACACUGUUUUAAAUUCUUAAAUUAGCAUAAACAAGCACUUAUCAAGGAGUGACAUUUAGAAGCCCAGCAUAAUAGCCAUGUUUUAAAAUAUAAGCAUAGUUAAGAUUACUUUAAUGCACUGUGGGCUGACAAUACAGUGCUAAUGCUGCAAAGAUCUAGAUUACGGGUGUAAACAAUCUUGCACAGGAGAUUUUGAUAUUGGUUACUGAAGAAUGAAGGCUGCACCAUAAUUAAUUUAACCCCUGUAAGAUUUCUCUCUGUGUGAAGUGGGAAGAUUUUGGAAGCUGAAUAAGGUCCAGUCUGCAAUCCUAUUCCCACUUACAAGGGAGUAAGCCCCAAUGAACUCAAAUGAACUUACUUCUUAGUAACAAUUGCACUGCAAGAAUAGUCAGUAUUUCAGGAACCAAAGUAGUUUAGGAUGCCCACAAAGGGUUGAUUUAAUGUUGGCAGCAGGUUUGGACUUAAACCAAAAUCGUAUUGUGGAAGAAUUUACUCUCAUGUACCAGUGGUGAACUAAUUUAUUGCUAUACCAAGAAGCAGCUUUAAAUCAGGUGUACAGAACCAGCUGAGGGACAGGAAGACUUAAAAGAUACUACUGGGGAUUCUGUGAACUCUUUCGUAGCGAAAGAAAGCUUUGAUCAAACCAACUGAGAAAGCUGCAUCAUAUUGAUGCUAAAAUAUUUACUAUCAGUUCAUUAAACACAUCUAUCAGACACAAACAAUGUCAUAUUGCCAGCGAGGUAGCUGAUGUGCUAGGAACGAAGGACACAAGACAGGAUGUUUGCGAGCAACAGGCAUGUUUAUAGCUGACCACCAAGUUUUGCUUAACCAGCCAGUGACAAAAUGAUCUGUAAGGAGCUUCAAGCAGAGAGAUGCCAUCAACAGGUAUGAAACAGUUAAUUUUGGU